AUACAGAGGGUGCAAGCGUUAAUCGGAAUUACUGGGCGUAAAGCGCGCGUAGGCGGCUUGGUCAGUCGGAUGUGAAAGCCCCGGGCUCAACCUGGGAACUGCAUUCGAUACUGCUAGGCUAGAGUAUGGUAGAGGGUAGUAGAAUUCCUGGUGUAGCGGUGAAAUGCGUAGAUAUCAGGAGGAAUACCAGUGGCGAAGGCGGCUACCUGGACCAAUACUGACGCUGAGGCGCGAAAGCGUGGGGAGCAAACAGGAUUAGAAACCCGAGUAGUCC
rnacentral:rRNA from 1 species